ACGAUAGGCACGAGGAGGAUGACGACGACCCACGGGGGGAGUCGACGACGGUGGCUGCCCUUCUUGACGCGUCUUCCCUCAUCGGCGGCGCAAGGCAACCAUAUAACAGCAGUAGCAUCGGAAAAACUAUCACGUGCAUGGUAGACACCGAUACAUAUACCUAAGAAGCUGGAGGAGAGGCAGCAACCUUGAGCAGUAGAGAUUGACGACGAGUGGAUCGACGGGGAAGAAGAGUAAGGGGUGGAAUCUCCACCACUACGCGUGCACGCCGUUUACCAGUGUUGUGGUGGGGAAGAUGAGCCUCCGAUGCCAUUUAUAUAAGAAGGAUAUGUAUGGUAUUGUUUUGUGUGUGCCCGCGUGAGAGAGGGAGAGUAAUGGCAAAAAAGAUGGAAACCAUAUUGCUCGGUCAGGCGGUGAAAAUUUGGAACAAAGAGAAGGGGUAAGGGGCAAAACAGAGAGUGCGCGGGUGAAGUGGGGCCCGCACCACUCCGUGAGUGGAGAAAGUACGCGGGUGAGAAAAGCUUGUGACGUUUACAGGGCACAUUAAAAAUAAGCAACAAGGUUGACCGUGCUUCUUUA